GAUGAACGCUGGCGGCGUGCCUAAUACAUGCAAGUCGAGCGAACAGACGAGGAGCUUGCGCCUCUGACGGUAGCGGCGGACGGGUGAGUAACACGUGGAUAACCUACCUAUAAGACUGGGAUAAGUUCGGGAAACCGGAUCUAAUACCGGAUAAUAUAUUGAACGGCAUGGUUCAAUAGUUAAAGACGGUUUUGCUGUCACUUAUAGAUUGAUCCGCCCCGCAUUAGCUAGUUGGUAAGGUAACGGCUUACCAAGGCAACGAUGGGUAGCCGAGCUGAGAGGGUGUUGGCCACCUCAGAAGCUGAGCACCGUCCCAGGGUCUUAGGGACGGCACAGGCUGCGACGCUUCGCAACAGGGGGAAAUCUUGCCCAAGCACCGCACGGUGGGUGCAGCAGCGCUGCGGUCGGUAAAACCGUUUUCUUGGGAAGAACCAAUGUGUAAGUAACUAUGCACGUCUUGACGGUACCUAAUCAGAAAGCCCCGGCUAACUACGUG
rnacentral:rRNA from 1 species